UACGUAGGGCGCAAGCGUUGUCCGGAAUUAUUGGGCGUAAAGGGCUCGUAGGCGGUCCGUCACGUCGGGAGUGAAAUCCUGGGGCUUAACCCCAGAACUGCUUCCGAUACGGGCAGACUAGAGGUAGGUAGGGGAGAAUGGAAUUCCUGGUGUAGCGGUGGAAUGCGCAGAUAUCAGGAGGAACACCAGUGGCGAAGGCGGUUCUCUGGGGCCUUACCUGACGCUGAGGAGCGAAAGCGUGGGGAGCAAACGGGG
rnacentral:rRNA from 1 species